UAGGGAAUAUUAGUAAUGGGCGAAAGCCUGAACUAGCAACACCGCGUGUGCGAAGAAGGCCUUCGGGUUGUAAAGCACUUUUUGAGAGGAUGAGGAAGGACGGUACUCUCAGAAUAAGUCUCGGCUAACUACGUGCCAGCAGCCGCGGUAACACGUAGGAGGCAAACGUUAUCCGGAUUUACUGGGCGUAAAGCGCGUGUAGGUGGUUUGGUAAGUAGAGCGUGAAAGCUCCUGGCUCAACUGGGAGAGGCCGUUCUAAACUACAGAACUAGAGGAUGGUAGAGGGAGGUGGAAUUCCAGGUGUAGCGGUGGAAUGCGCAGAUAUCUGGAGGAACACCAGUGGCGAAGGCGGCCUCCUGGACCAUUCCUGACACUCAGACGCGAAAGCUAGGGUAGCAAACG
rnacentral:rRNA from 1 species